rnacentral:rRNA from 1 species
CCCAGACUCCUACGGGAGGCAGCAGUGAGGAAUAUUGGUCAAUGGGCGAGAGCCUGAACCAGCCAAGUCGCGUGAAGGAUGACGGCCCUACGGGUUGUAAACUUCUUUUGUCAGGGAGCAAUUGGGUCCACGCGUGGGCUUAGCGAGAGUGCCUGAAGAAAAAGCAUCGGCUAACUCCGUGCCAGCAGCCGCGGUAAUACGGAGGAUCCGAGCGUUAUCCGGAUUUAUUGGGUUUAAAGGGUGCGUAGGCGGCCUUUUAAGUCAGCGGUGAAAGUCUGUGGCUCAACCAUAGAAUUGCCGUUGAAACUGGGGGGCUUGAGUAUGUUUGAGGCAGGCGGAAUGCGUGGUGUAGCGGUGAAAUGCAUAGAUAUCACGCAGAACUCCGAUUGCGAAGGCAGCAUACCGGCGCUCAACUGACGCUCAUGCACGAAAGCGUGGGUAUCGAACAGGAUUAGAUACCCGCGUACA